ensembl:lncRNA
AUGGGGAACAAAUCUGGAAAAACGGAGAUAACGGGACCUGCGAAGGUGAUGUUGGAGAAGCAUGGUGAAGCGGCUCUGGAGGGUUUAAAAUAUUGGUGCAAACUGGGCUUUCCUGAAAUGGGGAGUUUUAGCUUAAAAAGAUUACAGGAGUUAGAGAGACGAUUGUUGGAAUCAGAAAUGAAAAAGAAAAGUUCCCAACUAUGUUGGUGUGCGUUUUAUUUGUGGGAAAGAGAGGGCCAGGAUAGAAAAAAAAAUCAGCCAGGGACAGAGAGCGUAGAGAGUGUAGGGAUUUUUAAUCUCAAUGUCACCCGAGAUAUAGACCCGGACCUGGACUGCACCGGCGGACCGCGUGCGAAUCUCCCUUCUCCUCCCCCGUAUGACAACGCCCCUGAAGCCGCAUCAUCGGACAAUCUCUACCCUGACCUCAAAGAUGAGGAGAAAGCACCCGAUUGCAGCAUGGCAGGAGAUAGGCCUGCAACUCGUAGCCAGAGGAAAGCUCCACAGCAGGCGACGGCCACACCGACCAAGCGGGAGCCCGUCGCCAGCCGCUUGAGGAACCAGGGAAUGGCGUUCUCCCCAACUCCUCAACAUGAGGACGUGAUGGAUGGACAAUUCCCCAUGAUCGAAGUACUGAACCCCCAGGAUGGCAGACCAGCAUACGUUUUUCGUGCAUGGAGACCCAGUGACAUUAAGGACAUAGCGGAAUGGCUCCCAGACCCAUCUGUAGUGGGGGGGGCUGCCUUCGCCACAGCCCUUCAAGAGUUGGUCCAACAACACAAGGCCUCCAUCAGCGAAGUUCGCCAACUCUGUACGUACAGACUGACCCUAAGGUGGGGUCGGAUCCAAGGCGACAUGCCCGGGAGGGACGAAGCGGAUUUAAUGUUCGAUUGGGAUCAAGGGUCCGUGUACCGCCGGCUGGUAGAGGGACUGUGUGAACGGGCCAGGGGGGCGUUCCCCAUGGUUAGAGAUUGGACCGCUAUUCGAAAGAUCAAACAAACAGAAGGCGAGACGGUGGCUGACUUGAUGGACCGCGUUGAAAAGGUGUUUAAGAUCCACGGGGGAGUGCCUGUACCAACCGACCGGGUGGUUCAGACUCCGUACGAAGAAAAUCUCACCGCGGCCUUCCUGGAUGCGUUGGCCGACAAAAUAUCGGAAUUCAUAGAGACACACUGCAUUGGGUGGCGUACCGCCAGACUUGAUUUGAUUAUAAGUCACGCAACCCACGCAGAAAAUCUCUUCAUGAAGAAAGAAAAGUUCGAGAAGAAUAGAAAAGAAGAGAUAACCAAGAAGCUCCAGCUCGCCCAACUGGAGGCCCUGGAGAAUCCUAAGCCAACCCGUCGCGACAAAGACCAAGGAACCGACCGGCCAGAAGAGAGAAAGUCCCGUGGAGUAAUCAACCGGGACUGUUUGUAUUGUGGCUCCAAGGAUCAUUGGUUAAAAGAUUGUCCCAUUAGAAAUGGGGAAAACGAUGAAGCGGACGGCUGGGAAACCGCACCUUCCCGUGAAGUGACUGUGAAUCAUCCAAGAGGCGGAGGUGAAGGGGGGAUUUCGCAUUGA